rnacentral:misc_RNA from 1 species
AAGACUAUAGACCUGCGGAGUACCUGCGGAAGGAUCAUUAUCGAGUUUACAACUCCCAAACCAUUGUGAAUCUUACCUUUUCGUUGCUUCGGCGGGAUCGCCCCGGGCGCUUCGGUGCCCCGGAUUCAGGCGCCCGCCGGGGGACCUAAACUCUUGUAUUAUAGUGGAUUUCUGAGUGGAUUACACAAAUAAUCAAAACUUUCAGCAACGGAUCUCU